rnacentral:rRNA from 1 species
AUUGAACGCUGGCGGCAGGCCUAACACAUGCAAGUCGAGCGGGAGUAGCAAUACUCUAGCGGCGAACGGGUGAGGAAUGCUUGGGAAUCUGCCUAGUAGUGGGGGAUAACGUUCGGAAACGGACGCUAAUACCGCAUACGUCCUACGGGAGAAAGGGGGGAGUCUUCGGACCUCUCGCUAUUAGAUGAGCCCAAGCGGGAUUAGCUAGUUGGUGAGGUAAUGGCUCACCAAGGCAACGAUCCCUAGCUGGUCUGAGAGGAUGAUCAGCCACACUGGAACUGAGACACGGUCCAGACUCCUACGGGAGGCAGCAGUGGGGAAUAUUGGACAAUGGGCGAAAGCCUGAUCCAGCCAUGCCGCGUGUGUGAAGAAGGCCUUAGGGUUGUAAAGCACUUUAAGCGAGGAGGAAGGUUCGUCACCUAAUACGUGGCGGAAUUGACGUUACUCGCAGAGUAAGCACCGGCUAACUCUGUGCCAGCAGCCGCGGUAAU